UCUACAGAUGCAACCCCCUCAGACCCUCCUUCAACACCGCUCUCUGAAGAUAAGAUGACAAUAUUAAAGGUCCAAUUAAACGCACCCGCUGGACUGAAUCUUGAAGACCCCAAAGUGAGUGAAGCCCUUUUAGAGCAGAUUCGGGAGCACUACUCCAAGAACUUUCCAAUGGACGGUGUUAAACUGCGCUGGAGAAAACAAGAUGGGGAGAUAUUCCACAUGGAGGAAGAGGAGGAGGAGAAGUGCUCCGAGCCGUGAGACACCAUUGAUCUCCUAUUAACAACUCAAGCUGUCUGCCUCUGAAUGUAAUAUUAGUGACUGCAACUGUCAUUUAUUUGUUUUAGAUGGAUUUUACUAUAGAUAUACUGGGACAAUGUAGACUUAUUUUAAGGUGUUGGUUUUAGUUUUAAAUUAAUUUUACAUUACCUAUUUGUGCAACUCUGAUUUAUAAUUGGGUGAUGGGUGUAUUUUGGGUAUUUUAAUUUGGUUAGAAUAUAGAUAGAGAUAUUAUGUUACUGGUGCAACACUGAUUUAUGGUGAGGGGUAAAUUUUAAUUUGAUUAUACUAUAUAUAUAUAGUUACUAGGGAUUAUAUGAAGCCUUUUGGGUUUGUGUUGUAUUUGUUAUGUUGUAGGAAGAAUAAAUAUAUACAGAGUGAUUGUAAAGUAAAUAGGCAAUUUUACAAAGGCAUGACAGAAUAAAUGUGCACCUUGCAAGUUCCUGUACAAUUCCAUAGGGGGCGCCACACAUUACAGGGGUGGGGGGCAGGAUAAAAAAAACAACAAUGCAAUUAUUUGUAGAGUCUUGAUGCUACAGAACCAGGAUUAAUUGGUCAUCAGACAGACAGGGGCAAGUCAUAUGGCAGACAAUGAAAAUUCUUCAUUGCACAUGAUACGAUAGUGAAAUGUCAUUGACAGCUCUUGAUCUGAGCUGUCAGGAGAGCUUCAAGGUAGGCUGGGUAAGCGAGAUGAGUUACCCUGGUGCCCUGGCCAUUCCCAAUCAUGUCCUUAAUUAUUACCUGGGUGAGGGGACCUUCAGGAUUGGAGCUGCUAUAGCAAUGGAAGGAAUGCUGCAGCAUACGUUAAGAUUGGUGGCGCCCCCUAUGGGCUGUAUUUUGAAUAAACACCAGCAGUAGAGUGACAGGACAGCAGUCUGUAGAUCCACUGCUGUGUAUUAACCCAAUUUUGCAUGACAGGCACCCAAACCUGAUCAAAAACGAUCUCUAUUAGUGAAAGGAAAAUGAGCUAAAUGAAUUGAAGGUCUUUUUUAUUAUUAGUCAUACAGUACAUGCUGGACAAAGACUUUAAUUGAUCAUACUUUCAAAGAGUCAUGCAAAAAUGAUGUUUAAAUGAAAAGAAUCCAAACACUUUAAAAAGGUGUUCAGUUCACAACCACAAGGUCAGGUCCACCUGAUUCACUGUGCAGUCUGCUUGGUGUAGUGCAACAUGGGGUUCAGUCAUUAAGGCUUGGGUUCAGGGCUUCUCUGCUGUGUUUCAAAAUGAAUACUGAACUAACUGUAUGAGAAACAAGGCAUUUCUCACUGUUCAUACUCUGUAUUUUUUGCUGAAUUAUUUCAAUAAAGUUUUAA